rnacentral:rRNA from 1 species
AAGAUGGCGACCGGCGCACGGGUGAGUAACACGUAUCCAACCUGCCGAUAACUCUGGAAUAGCCUUUCGAAAGAAAGAUUAAUACCGGAUAGUAUACGAAUAUCGCAUGAUUAUUUUUAUUAAAGUAAUUUCGGUUAUCGAUGGGGGAUGCGUUCCAUUAGUUUGUUGGCGGGGUAACGGCCCACCAAGACUACGAUGGAUAGGGGUUCUGAGAGGAAGGUCCCCCACAUUGGAACUGAGACACGGUCCAAACUCCUACGGGAGGCAGCAUG